rnacentral:rRNA from 1 species
AGAGUUUGAUCAUGGCUCAGGACGAACGCUGGCGGCGUGCUUAACACAUGCAAGUCGAGCGGUAAGGCCCUUCGGAGUACACGAGCGGCGAACGGGUGAGUAACACGUGGGUGACCUGCCCUCCACUCUGGGAUAAGCCUGGGAAACCGGGUCUAAUACCGGAUAGGACCUCUGGGUGCAUGCCUGGUGGUGGAAAGUUUUUUCGGUGGGGGAUGGGCCCGCGGUCUAUCAGCUUGUUGGUGGGGUGAUGGCCUACCAAGGCGACGACGGAUAGCCGGCCUGAGAGGGUGAUCGGCCACACUGGGACUGAGACACGGCCCAGACUCCUACGGGAGGCAGCAGUGGGGAAUCUUGCGCAAUGGGCGGAAGCCUGACGCAGCAACGCCGCGUGAGGGAUGACGGCCUUCGGGUUGUAAACCUCUUUCGCGAUCGACGAAGGUCCGGUUUCUGCUGGGCUGACGGUAGGUCGAGAAGAAGCACCGGCCAACUACGUGCCAGCAGCCGCGGUAAUACGUAGGGUGCGAGCGUUGUCCGGAAUUAUUGGGCGUAAAGAGCUCGUAGGCGGUGUGUCGCGUCGGCCGUGAAAACCUGGGGCUCAACUCUGGGCGUGCGGUCGAUACGGGCAUCACUUGAGUUCGGCAGGGGAGACUGGAAUUCCUGGUGUAGCGGUGAAAUGCGCAGAUAUCAGGAGGAACACCGGUGGCGAAGGCGGGUCUCUGGGCCGAUACUGACGCUGAGGAGCGAAAGCAUGGGUAGCGAACAGGAUUAGAUACCCUAGUAGUCC